UUCCGUAGGUGAACCUGCGGAAGGAUCAUUCGCACAAAGAAUAUCUUUUACACCCGCCACGCACCACACAGUGCUUUCUGUUUUUAAUCAGGAUUUAUAUCCAACUCGUCGAUGUUGCGAUUCCAUUGCAAUGUAUGCGAUGUUAUCUAUCUCUUGCGACGACGAAUGCCUUGGCUCGAGGAUCGUUGAAGGACGCAGCGAACUGUGCUAAACAUCUCGAAUUGCAGAUUUCCGAGAAAGAAAAGGAUUCUGAACGCACUUUGCGAAUUGACCUCGUGUCAGUUCACUUGAUUGGCGGUGACCGCAAUAUGCAGUCGCUCGAACUCCGAAGUUUGAGUGGUGUGCACGUGUUGUUGCAGAUUGUUGCACCGACAUGUUCGUAGAAUUCGACGCGCCUCUCGUUUUCGAGCAGCAUUAUGACUUCGUGUUAUGAUGUUCGAAAGCAGGGACCGUUUCUUGUUUGGUUUUCCAAACGAUUCUUUCGCACGCUCACGACCAGUCAAGGGAUUACCCGCUGAAUUUAAGCAUAUCAAUAAGCGGAGGAAA
rnacentral:rRNA from 1 species